AAGGGUGCGCAGGCGGGGAUUUAGGUCGGCGGUGAAUUUCGGGGCUCAACCUCGACAGUGCCGUUGAAACCGUUUCUCUUGAGUGCGGAUGAGGUAGGCGGAAUUUGUGGUGUAGCGGUGAAAUGCGUAGAUAUCACAAGGAACACCGAUUGCGGAGGCAGCUUACUAAACCGUUACUGACGCUCAUGCACGAAGGCGUGGGGAUCAAACAGGAUUAGAUACCCUGGUAGUCCACGCAGUAAACGAUGAUUACUUGCUGUUUGCGAUACACAGUAAGCGGCGUAGCGAAAGCGUUAAGUAAUCCACCUGGGGAGUACGUUCGCAAGAAUGAAACUCAAAGGAAUUGACGGGGGCCCGCACAAGCGGAGGAACAUGUGGUUUAAUUCGAUGAUACGCGAGGAACCUUACCCGGGCUUGAAAUGCAUUCGACGGGGUUGGAAACAGCCUUUCCCUUCGGGGCGGAUGCGUAGGUGCUGCAUGGUUGUCGUCAGCUCGUGCCGUGAGGUGUCGGCUUAAGUGCCAUAACGAGCGCAACCCCUGUCGUCAGUUACCAUCGGUAUAAGCCGGGGACUCUGGCGAGACUGCCAUCGUAAGAUGCGAGGAAGGUGGGGAUGACGUCAAAUCAGCACGGCCCUUAUGUCCGGGGCGACACACGUGUUACAAUGGGGCGGUACAGCGGGGCGCUACCCGGCGACGGGGAGCCGAUCCCGAAAUCCGCUCACAGUUCGGAUCGGAGUCUGCAACUCGACUCCGUGAAGU
rnacentral:rRNA from 1 species